UUUUACCGAACUUUUCUCUCUCUCUAGAAAAAUGAAACGAAGUCCCUCCUUUGGCCGUUUCCCCCACCGCCAGUGACCCCCAAACACUCUUCUUCUUCAUUCAGUUCUCUCUUUCCUUCCCUUUUCACCAAUUGGAAGCCUUCAUAUUUCCCCAAAACCAACCUCUGUCUCAAACCACAGAAAGCAAACUGUUGGAAUUUCUGUCGAACUGAAGAUUUUUCUUUUAUCUCAUUGAUCAACAAGAAAUUACUCUAAGAUUUGGUUUACAAAGGCAUCCAGGGGGACCUGACCCGUAUAGUUACAAUUUGCGAGCCUUGAGCGAGGGCGAAAACAGAAGAGCUGAGAUUUGAGGUCUGAGAUUGAGACUGAGACUGAGUUUGAGUUUGAGGAGGUAAGCCAUUCCUUCCAAAAUCUCUGACUAACAGUUUGCAGAGAGGGAGAUGGGCUGCUGGAGGGGAUAUCAUUCCGAGCUUCAUUCCAGGCUUGGACAUGAUAUUCUCAUCUCUCCACACACAAGGUUAACUCCAAGGCAAGGAAAUAUGGAAGAGAUGAAGUAAAGGAUCGAGGUGGGUAGCCGGUGGACAUGGCGUACGUCUUUGGAUUUUGGAGGAAAUGCAGCAUUACCAAAACCUUCUAUCAUUGAUCAAACUGAAGACUGUCAGAAAAAGGGGAAAAAAAAAAGAAACAUGCUUGCUUUCCCUAUAAGCAGGAGGAACUGCAAGGUCGCAGAUGCAACAAGGAGGCAUUUCAAAAGCUCACAGAGAGCUCAGCAGCUGAAAAAAAUGAGGUUGAAAAACCUAAACACUCGCAUGAAAAGGCUACGGGUGGAGAUGGAAGAAAUCAGUGAGGAACAAAAAAAAAUCAAAGAUGGGCAAAGACAAGUAAGAGAGAAAUUUGAAGCCAUUGAAUUGGAAUGUGAGCAACUUCGAAAGGAAACAAAACUCAUAACACAACAAAGUCUUAGCACCCAAAUCCGCCUUGCUCUUAUGUUCCAAAUCUUGAAAGCUAGAGAAAACCAUGACUUUUCUAAAGCAUCACAACUUACUUGUGUUCUCCGUGAAUUGAUAGAAAGAGAGAACCAACAGAAGGAAGCUUUCACUGCCAAUUAAUGAGGCAUGCUACUACAAGUAAAUGGUGGGAAAAACUCCAUUCUAUUAUAAUAAACUAUAUGAGUGCUAAUUCUAGGCAUGUAUGUUGUGAUGAUGUGUUAUUGUAAUAAACUAGAUUGAUUGUGAAACCCCUGUUUUUCGCAUUGUGGAAAUUUGGUGAAAAUAUGAACUUUGUAAAUUAUGCAUUGGUGAUGAUUAUCUAUCAGAAUCCCUUGUCAUUUGAUAUAAAUCUUUCCA